CACUUUUUGCCAAUGAAUCAGCCGCCCCUCGGCCCACCUCUCUCUACAACUCCACCUUUCUCUGUCUUUGUCCGUCCCCCCCCCCCCCUCCCCCCCGUCCCAUAAACUGACCACCGGCGACGGACCAUCAAACGCCUCGCCGCUGCCGCUCUUUCCCCUUUCCCCCGUUCUCUUUCUCUUUCUAUUUGGUCUACUUGUCACCGAUAAGACCACCAUCGAAAAUAGCUCACCGGCAAACUCCUUCAACCUCUUCUGCCGCUGCCAAUUUCCGUCCUGCCUAACCAUCGGCGACCUCCCUUAUGAUAAUCAAAAUUAAAUUUUUAAUGUUUGUUGCUGCAGACUGUUAACAAUUCUACAUACAAGGAGGGGUCUUACUUGAUCACCAGUUUCAAACAAUAGAAUUAUCUAUUUUGAUUGUUUGCCUAUUUGGCAUUGAACAGCUUCUCCAAUGCUAGGCUUGGGCAAGACAAGAACUCAAACUAGGUCUAGCAGAUCUCUCUCUCUAGGAGCCAAGUGAUGCGGCUAGUGGAUCCAUUUCUCCCAUGGAUGCAAGGAAACCACGUGAUGAUAGUGAUCCUAAUGACACUCGUAAUUUUGUUGUAAAUUAUCUUGAAUAUUCAAUUAUGAUGAUGUAAUUGUGUGGUUGGAGAGAAUCUUAGAAUAUUGAAGGUUUUGUGUUUAAAGAUAUUAGUUAAUGUUGAAAAUUUGGAGUUUGAAGAUGCUAAUGUUGAAAAUUUAAUUUUGAAGUUUAAUGUUCAAUGCAUUUUUGAGAUGCUUGUGAAUUACAA